AUAAAAACAUAAUAAAAAUUACAUGAAACUAACCCUUGUUAUUUGUUUUGCACGAAUAUAAUUGAAAAAAGAUUAAAAAAAGACUGCAUGGUAGUGGUAGUGUCCACUACGAAACGUUUUUCUCCCAUACUUGUUUCGUAGGGGACCGUUUCGUAGGGGACGUAUUCGCAUGUUUUAUUUUUUCCCCCACAAUCUCUAUAUUGCAAUAGUAACAAGACUGAUUGAAUUCAUCAAAGCAUUUAUUAAGCUGUACACUGAUAUUUUUUUUCAUAAUUUUAAAACCAGAUACUGAAGGAGAUUUGACCCGUUUCGUAGUGGACAUUAACAAAAAUACGGUAUCACUCUGGUCCAUUUGAUGUGCUCAAUUUUUC
rnacentral:lncRNA from 1 species